UUUCACGUCUCAAUGCAUUACCUACUGUUUUUCAUUGUUGGCCAUCACACAUGUGGUUUUGCAGGCUCCUUGGUUUUAGUAGGUGGGGAUCCCGGUGUUGGCAAAAGUACAUUGAUGCUACAGCUCGCUUCUAUUGUAUCUGAAGAUUCCGAGGAUCAUGGGUCUUCUCCUGUUGUGUAUGUGUCCGGUGAGGAGAGCAUCGAGCAAGUUGCAAACAGGGCCGAUCGGAUGA